GGGCAAGUCAGAAUGGUAUUAGGUUUCAGGGCCUCAGAAGCUGGCGGACUCGGACUGUGGCUCCACAGCUACACCUCACAGGUUGGUGUUGCCGCCCCGGGAGAUUCCUGAGCGUUGGUUCUGGAGGCAGCCCGAGCAUGCGCAGCUCGCUGCCUGGGGUGUCCGGCUCCUGUCAGGGCAGUCCCGCAAGAGCUCGACAUCUCUGCGGGAUCCAGUUUCUAGUCCCCUGACUGUGCUCCUGAGAGAGCCCAGACCUCACUAUGCCUCCAAGUUUUGUGAGCGGUCAGGAGUCUGAGGGGACUGAGGUUUACUUGAUGUGACGUGUACGAGACUCCUGAGAACAGCUCUGGAACCGCGGCCCUCUGGUAUCCAGGACACUAAGUGGACCACAUUCCAUCAGACCUCUCCACCAUGACCUGCCUGUCUUGGAUGGCCCCACACAGCAUGGCUUAGUUUCAUUCAGUUAUACACAGCUGUGGUCCAUGACAAGGAGCGGCCAAGAGGAGCUACCCCAUGCCUGAGGCCAGGGGCGGUGGCCAAGAUGAGCAACCCAAUGUCCAAGGAGCUGUGGCUGCACGGGCGCGGUGGGCGGAGAGGAGCUAAUCCACGUUUAAGGUCAGGAGGGGCGGCGGUGAGAAGAUACCCCUUGUCCAAGUUAAGGAGCAGUGGCUGCGCUUUGCUGGAGCAGCUGUGAAGAGAUACCCCACGUCCAAGGCAGGAAGAAGAGGAAAGUGAAAGAAGUGAAACAAAGCUGCUUGUGAAUCUAUUCUAUUUAAAAAAUGCUUUCCUAGAAGACUAAAACCAUGAUUUACUUUAUAAUCCAUUGGAAAGAAUUGGUAUAUGGCUCUUAUCUGUAAAUGAUCUUGGGGAGGCAUUUUGUCUGGAUACAUUGCCAUUAGGAAUUAAAAAGGAAAAAAUGAAUAUGAGGAAAGCCUGCAGGCCAUGUUUGUCACAAUUAUGUGUGUGUAUUAUUUGUAUAUAUUUGUCAUGACUAUGAACCAUAAGAACCAAAUUCUGAUGUGAUACAACUUUAUAUUCAUUACAACACCUUUCACAGCACAGGUGUUGGAUGAAGAUGUAUUAAUUUAUUAAGGAAUUUAUUAUAUCUGAUAGAACUUUACUUUUUCUUCGGUUAAAAAUUGUAUAUUGACUCUUGUAUGAUUACAC
ensembl:lncRNA